rnacentral:rRNA from 1 species
GCUUCCUCGGGACAUUUUCCAUUAAGUAAUUUAUAUGAGUCAUUGAUCUUCCUUUCAUGGGCCCUGUAUAUUCUUAUUCCUAAAAUACAGAACUCUAAAAAUGAUUUAAGCACAAUAACUACGCCAAGUACUAUUUUAACGCAAGGCUUUGCCACAUCGGGUCUUUUAACUGAAAUGCAUCAAUCCACGAUACUAGUACCUGCUCUACAAUCUCAGUGGUUAAUGAUGCAUGUCAGUAUGAUGUUAUUAAGCUAUGCAACUCUUUUGUGCGGAUCCUUAUUAUCCCUGCAACUCGCUCGUCAUGAAUUGAAUUACAAUCAAAUUGCUUUAAGUCGGUUACCAAUCCCCAUAAUGGGAGAUUACACAAUUCAAACAAUUAGGAAUUUGUCUGAAAGUAAAAUAAACAAAGAAAAAUCUUCGAAUUCAAGAAUGAUUACUGAUUACUAA